CCUACGGGAGGCAGCAGUGGGGGAUAUUGCACAAUGGGGGAAACCCUGAUGCAGCGACGCCGCGUGUGGGAAGACGGUCCUCUGGAUUGUAAACCACUGUCCCCAGGGACGAAGAUGACGGUACCUGGGGAGGAAGCUCCGGCUAACUACGUGCCAGCAGCCGCGGUAAUACGUAGGGAGCGAGCGUUGUCCGGAAUUACUGGGUUUAAAGGGAGCGUAGGCCGGCUUUUAAGUCAGCUGUGAAAGUCCGCGGCUCAACCGUGGAAUUGCAGUUGAAACUGGAGGCCUUGAGUGCACACAGGGAUGCCGGAAUUCAUGGUGUAGCGGUGAAAUGCUUAGAUAUCAUGAAGAACUCCGAUCGCGAAGGCAAGUGUCCGGGGUGCAACUGACGCUGAGGCUCGAAAGUGCGGGUAUCAAACAGGAUUAGAUACCCGAGUAGUC
rnacentral:rRNA from 1 species